GGUCACCCACGGGGGGCAGCAGUGGGGAAUAUUGGACAAUGGGGGAAACCCUGAUCCAGCGACGCCGCGUGAGUGAAGAAGUAUUUCGGUACGUAAAGCUCUAUCAGCAGGAAAGAAAAUGACGGUACCUGACUAAGAAGCCCCGGCUAACUACGUGCCAGCAGCCGCGGUAAUACGUAGGGGGCAAGCGUUAUCCGGAUUUACUGGGUGUAAAGGGAGCGUAGACGGCUGUACAAGUCUGAAGUGAAAGCCCGUGGCUCAACCGCGGAACUGCUUUGGAAACUGUAAAGCUGGAGUACUGGAGG
rnacentral:rRNA from 1 species